rnacentral:RNase_P_RNA from 3 species
UCAGUCGGCCGGACGGCCGCUCCGGCAGGUGCCGAAAGGCCGCCGGGGAGGAAAGUCCGGGCUCCCUUGACAUGCGGUGCCGGAUAACGUCCGGCGGGGGUGACCCCAGGGAAAGUGCCACAGAGAACGAACCGCCCCGCUUGGCCUUCGGCUUCGCGGGGUAAGGGUGAAAAGGUGCGGUAAGAGCGCACCGCGGCUGCGGCAACGGAGCCGGCAUGGCAAACCCCACCGGGAGCAAGACCGAAUAGGGACGGCGUAGCGGGCUGUUCGCGAAAGCGAUAACGCCGCGGGGCGAUGUCAGGCCCGCCGUCCGGGUAGGUUGCUCGAGGCCGUGUGCAAACACGGUCCCAGAGGAAUGGCCGUCACGUAUCGUUCGCGCAAGCGGGCGGUGCCCUACAGAACCCGGCUUACAGGCCGGCUGAUAUC